rnacentral:rRNA from 1 species
CCCUUAGAUGUCCUGGGCCGCACGCGCGUUACACUGAUGCAUUCAACGAGCUUAUAACCUUGGCCGAGAGGCCUGGGCAAACUUGUUAACGUGCAUCGUGAUAGGGAUAGAUUAUUGAAAUUAUUAAUCUUGAACGAGGAAUUCCUAGUAAACGCAGAUCAUCAAUCUGCAUUGAUUACGUCCCUGCCCUUUGUACACACCGCCCGUCGCACCUACCGAUUGGAUGGUCCGGUGAAGCCUCGGGAUUGUGGUUCUUGCCGCUUUAUUGUGGCGUGACCGCGAGAACUUGUCUAAACCUUAUCAUCUAGAGGAAGGUGAAGUCGUAACA